CGAGUUCACUGAACCUUCGGGGAACGUGAACGGCGUCGAGCGGCGGACGGGUGAGUAAUGCCUGGGAAAUUGCCCUGAUGUGGGGGAAACCAUUGGAAACGAUGGCUAAUACCGCAUAAUAGCUUCGGCUCAAAGAGGGGGACCUUCGGGCCUCUCGCGUCAGGAUAUGCCCAGGUGGGAUUAGCUAGUUGGUGAGGUAAGGGCUCACCAAGGCAACGAUCCCUAGCUGGUCUGAGAGGAUGAUCAGCCACACUGGAACUGAGACACGGUCCAGACUCCUACGGGAGGCAGCAGUGGGGAAUAUUGCACAAUGGGCGCAAGCCUGAUGCAGCCAUGCCGCGUGUAUGAAGAAGGCCUUCGGGUUGUAAAGUACUUUCAGCAGUGAGGAAGUGGUGUAGUUAAUAGCUGCAUCAUUUGACGUUAGCUGCAGAUGAAGCACCGGCUAACUCC
rnacentral:rRNA from 1 species